UUAGUGACUGAAAUAUCUCGACAACAAUUAGAUGGUUUUCCAUGAUAUUUUCUGCAGACAUUCAAGAUCCCUAGAGGAUGAAUCUUCCUCUAGCAUCACCAGCAGAGAGAAAAGUCUGAGGGCAUCUGGUGGACUGGUGAAGAAUGGCAGCUACGGACCUGGGGAAAUGGGAAUGCAACUGGAGAAAAGGACUCAGAGCCAGACCAUGACAAAACUUUAAGAAUCUGCUCUUCUUAUGAAGCUUAGUUUUCAUCACUUCAGCACAGGUCUGAGUUCACCAGAAGCCCGCUCCUCUUCUCAUCCAUCCAGAUCUCAGCAUGCUCUUCAUCCAUCGCCACCACCAGUGUCUAGACUCCAAUAUGAUGACAUCAUGAUGGGGUCUAAUCGCCAAGGACUUUUCACAGUCUUAUCA